rnacentral:rRNA from 1 species
GACGGGGGGGGCAAGCGUUGUUCGGAAUUACUGGGCGUAAAGGGCUCGUAGGUGGCCAACUAAGUCAGACGUGAAAUCCCUCGGCUUAACCGGGGAACUGCGUCUGAUACUGGAUGGCUUGAGUUUGGGAGAGGGACGCGGAAUUCCAGGUGUAGCGGUGAAAUGCGUAGAUAUCUGGAGGAACACCGGUGGCGAAGGCGGCAUCCUGGACCAACACUGACGCUGAGUGAGCGAAAGCCAGGGGAGCAAACGGG